rnacentral:rRNA from 1 species
GUGGGGAAUAUUGGGCAAUGGGCGAAAGCCUGACCCAGCAACGCCGCGUGAAGGAAGAAGGUUUUCGGAUUGUAAACUUCUGUCCUCAGGGAAGAAGGAAGUGACGGUACCUGAGGAGGAAGCCCCGGCUAACUACGUGCCAGCAGCCGCGGUAAUACGUAGGGGGCGAGCGUUGUCCGGAAUGACUGGGCGUAAAGGGCGCGUAGACGGCUGUCUAAGUCUGGAGUGAAAGUCCUGCUUUCAAGGUGGGAAUUGCUUUGGAGACUGGAUGGCUUGAGUGCGGAAGAGGUAAGUGGAAUUCCCAGUGUAGCGGUGGAAUGCUCAGAUACUAGGAGGAACACCAGUGGCGAAGGCGGCUUCCUGGCCUGUACCUGACGCUGAUAGGCGAAAGCUAGGGAAGCGAACGGGAUUAGAAACCCUUGUAGUCC